UUAAGAGCUUGGGGGAAAAGCUCCAAGUACCUACACUGCCUUCAGACCACUGAAAUGUUGCCCUGCAUCCUGGACAGGUGACAUAUGAGGGUACUCAGAGCUGUGAAAAAUAGCUCUCUCUAAAGCAACUUUUUGGUCUCCUUGAAGAAGCCGAGAGAAAUUUAAGCCUGACAGCCUGGCUCCUUUGCAGGUUUCUAUCCCACAGGCAACUCUCAGCAUCACAGUGGCUGGCUCUGGCAGGAAGCUGAAAGUAACCCACACUGUCCUCUCUGUCCUUGAGCCAGUCAGUUCCCCUGCAGCAGGAGCUCCCCCACUGCAGUCAGCAGGCCUGGGGAGUGCAGAUGCCAGCCUCCUGAAUAUGAAACAGACCAGGCAACCAGGAUGCUAUAACCCUGGUCUCCCCAGUUUGGGGCUUUCUGACACCAUGAGCUAAUCCCACCCUCUCUAAUGGAUUUUGUAGGUUUCUGAGAAAAUGGUUUGGGUUGGUUUAGUCACAGCUUAGAAAUAUGUUGAAUUUUCAAAAUUGGGGAAAAUCAAGUUUGAUGAGGGCUGAUACUUUGCUUUAAAAUUAAAGUUUAAUUGGUACUUUAUAUGUGCCAAGAGUUUUCCAAUGUCUACUGCCUCCACCCCACCCCGUCUCAGCUCCCUCCAUCUGCUCUCCCUUCCCUCUCUGGUCUGGCUGCUCUAGUCUAACCCUCAAUUUUCUCUGGCCAGGUCCAAGUGUAAUGUUGUGGUUAAGAGCACAUGCAGGUGUGGUGGCAGGACGCCUGAGCUUGGGUCUUGGGCUGGUUUCCUGACUUCUAAAGUUUUAGUUUUCCCAGUUGGAAAAAUGGGAAUAACCUCAAGGGUUUAUUGUGAUAUAAACCAAGUUAAUAUCCAUAACGAGCUCAAAAUAGUCCCUGGAGCAUAGGAACCAUUCAACAAAUACUAGCUAUUUAUUCCCCAUCCUCUACUUUCUUGCCAAACUAAUCCUAAAACAAUUCCACAAUCUCUCACCAGAAGUUCUGAACAUCAUGAGAAAAUACCCCAGGUCUGGGGAACAGAGUCUGGACAAAUUCACGGCCUCCACCCUCAGCUGGGCCUCCAAUGUUACACCCCUACUUCUUCAAGUCGCCAUUGCUAGGCCCUAUGUGAAGCCUCUCCCACACUUUUCAUCUCAGGCAGACUGCUGUUCCCUUCUUUGCUUUUCUCCUCUUAUUUGUAGCCCUUCUACAAUACUCAUCAUGGUGCACAGCCAGGAAUUUGUUUAUAUGCCAGCUCCCAAAUGGACGGUAAGCCACUGAGCCAAAAAUGGCAUUCUUUUUUUCUACCCCAGUGUGGAAGACAAUCAACAAAUAAAUUCUUGCUGAAUAAAUGAAGAGGAACUUACAUUAAACCAUCUAUAACCCUGAGGUAGGUAGCACAUUUCUCAGAUGUCAGGUAACUUGUCCAAGGCCUCACAACUAGUGAGUUGAGUAAUCAGGAUUCAAACCCAGGACUAACUGCAGAGCCCACACUCUUUCUCCUGCCCCUCAAGUGUUAAAGCACCAGCCAAGAAUCCAAGGAGUGUUGGAUCUUUA